rnacentral:rRNA from 1 species
AGAUUGAACGCUGGCGGUAGGCCUAACACAUGCAAGUCGAACGGCAGCACAGUCCCGCAAGGGAUGGGUGGCGAGUGGCGGACGGGUGAGGAAUACAUCGGAAUCUACCUUUUCGUGGGGGAUAACGUAGGGAAACUUACGCUAAUACCGCAUAAGACCUUCGGGUGAAAGCCGGGGACCUUCGGGCCUGGCGCGGAUAGAUGAGCCGAUGUCGGAUUAGCUUGUUGGCGGGUAAAAGCCACAACGACGACG